AAUGCAAUGAGAUUGCUUACAUAUCCAGGUGUUAAACCGUAUCAGUAACAGCCUCUGUAUGCAACAGUACGUCUAAUAAUGACAUAAAAUGAUUAUGUGUUUUUACUGAUUAGCCUUGUUGCCCGUUUCACUAUUUUGUCCUGAAACAUCCUCUUUCUUGUUUUUGUGGAGAUCUUCCCCAUGCUUGUCUACUGCUUACGUCUGAUCGCUGUGGCUGUCUGUUGUAAGCACGCUUUGGGUGAACGUCUGCUUGUAUGACAGGAUGCUCCUUGUUACCCCGUGUCUCUCUCCUUCAUCCCAUGACCUAGACAUGGAUUUGCUAAUUCAUUUGAAUGUGCUCUCAGCAAUUUAAAAACAAGCGUGAUUAAAGACACAAAGUGACUUUCCCGUGGCUCACCGUUUGUGCCGGUGUUUUUUUUAUUUGAAAAGUGUGAUAGAUAGAUGAUAACUGCCACUUUAUCGUUCGUAUUUUUCAUCAGUUUGUUUUAGUAAAAGAUCUUAAUUAAGUCCUUCUUUCAAGUAUCUCAUUACCCAAUCAAAAAGCAUUGCAACAGCCAAAUACCAAUCAGGAGUUAAUCCAAUAGGCUGUUUUCCUGCUCUAUUGUUUUUAUGCAACACAUACACACACACACACAUCAGUUUGUGAGUUUGGUGACUUAAAUGUUUUAAAUGUAUACAUGUACCAUGAUCAUGUGGACACACCAACUUCUUCAACAAUUAAUGUAACGUUGUCUCUACAGCUGGCGCAAGACAAGCAUCAGUCCUGACGAAAGAAUGCAGGUCAAAAAGGCUAAAGGGAACAAACACACACACAUGCACACACACAUAUGCACACACACACACACACACGCGCGCACACACACACAUACUCACAUACACACACAUACAUGCACACGCACACAAACACACGCACACACACACGCACACACACAUACUCACAUACACAGACAUACAUGCACACGCACACAAACACACGUACAGACAUGCACACACACACACACACACACACGUACACACAGACAGACACACAGACACACAGAAAGAAUGGAAACAAAGGGAGAACAAUCUCAAGGCCAUCUGC
ensembl:lncRNA